rnacentral:rRNA from 1 species
AAAGUUGUUCUCAGUUCGGAUUGUAGUCUGCAACUCGACUACAUGAAGCUGGAAUCGCUAGUAAUCGUAGAUCAGCAUGCUACGGUGAAUACGUUCCCGGGUCUUGUACACACCGCCCGUCACACCACGAGAGUUUGUAACACCCGAAGCCGGUGGAGUAACCUUUUGGAGCUAGCCGUCGAAGGUGGGACAAAUGAUUGGGGUGAAGUCGUAACAAGGUAGCCGUAUCGGAAGGUGCGGCUGGAUCACCUCCUUUCUAAGGA